rnacentral:lncRNA from 10 species
GUCCCCUUUUCAAAAUUAAAAUUAAUGACAUCUACACUCAGCAACCACACACAUGGGCGGGGGGCACCGUUCUUGGAGCUACUGCAAUACCAGGUCGAUGCAUGGAGUGAACUAAGUAAGCUGCUAUUGCAACCCCCUCCUACAAAAAUCCACUUUAUAUACAUUUUUUUAGACAGGGUCUCAUCAUGUCACCCACUCUGGAGCUCAGUGGUGCCAUCAUGGCUGACUGCAGCCUUGACUUCCUGGGCUCAGGCAAUCCUCCAGCCUCAGCCUCUUGAGUAGCUGGACUAUAGGUGAGCUCAGGUGAUCCUCCUGGCUCAGCUUCCCCAGUAGCUGGGACUACAGGCACGCACCACCACACCUAGCUAAUUUUUGUAUUUUUUUGUAGAGUCAGUGUCUCACUAUGUUGCCCAGGCUGGCCCCCACUGGGUUGGCCUCUGUCAUACACCCCGCGGCACCCAGACUCCUCGGUGGCCCUUAGCCUCAGGUUCAUAGACUCAUCAGUCAGGGAUUUCUAUGUUUCCUCUGUGGCUCUGCGGGGGAUGGGUUGUGACCUGUUUACCACUAGAUCCCGGGAACCCUGCUUGGGCCUGUACAUCAAAGUCCCCAAGAAGUGAAGGAGCAAGAAAGUGGCAGAAUUUUUAAAAUUUUCAAUUUAAUUUAAAAAAUUAAUGUUUUAAAAUUUGUGUUUGGAUUUAAAAUGUGAAUGGAUAUCCAUAAUUGCAUUUUUUUUUUUUUGAGAUGGGGUCCUAACCUGGCCAUUUUUGUCCUCACUGCUCACUGGGAUGUGGUGUGGAUGAUGCUGGGUGAUAUCACGGAACCAGCGGCGAUCCUCUCAGGCACACUCGCAUUAACAUGGCUAUGACUGGGAAGGGUGUGCUCAGAGGUGCAGGCAGAAUGGUUUUGGAGUCUGCUGCCUGCAUUUGGAUGGUUUGGCAAAAGAGAAGUGUGUGGAGGAGAGACAGAGGGAGGGAGAGAGAAAAAAGAGGAGAGAGAGAGGGAAGGAGAGCCGGGGAACCCAGGCCAGGGCGAUACAGUAUGCACUGCGUGCUCCUGCAACUUUUAUGCUCCAAAUGUUUCAAAAUAAAACCAGAGGGUGAGGAAAACAGUGAUGUGGCCAGGCCCAGUGUGCAGGCUCCAGCUCCCCAGUAUGCGUCUCCCUCCCGGCCGACUGCCAGCGCCACUGAAAGACUCAGGCCCAGGGCACCUUUGUCAUUCCCCCAACUCCACUAAAAGGUGGCAGCAAAAAUGCUCCCCCGCUCCCGGCCCUGCUGCUCCACAGCCACCCCUCACUGCUGGGUAAGGCUUCCCAGGCAACAGCAGGAGGGGCCCGAUGGUGCCACACUGAGUACAGGGCAGACGCGCCCCACAGUGACCCUGCCCUCUGACCCACCCCGGCCUCCUCUUCCUCACUCCCACUUCUUGAGGUUGCACCCGAAACGUCCUGCCCUGACAUCCUCAGGUGUCCUUAACAUCUGACAAGAACAGACAGCCAAGGGUACUUGGGAACAGGCCUGGAGCAGUGGCUCACACCUGUAAUCCCAGCACUUUGGGAGGCCGAGGCAGGCAGAUCACCUGAGGUCCAGAGUUCCAGACCAACCUGGCCAACAUGGUGAAACCCCAUCUCUACUAAAAAUACAAAAACAGCCAGGCAUGGUGGUGCGCACCUGUAAUCCCAGCUACUUGGGAGGCUGAAGCAGGAGAAUCGCUUGAACCUGGGAGGCGGCAGUUGCAGUGAGCUGAGAUCACACCACUGCACUCCAGCCUGGGCUACAGAGUGAGACCCCAUCUCAAAAAACAAAACAAAACAAACGAACAAAAAAACACUUGGGAAAGGAGAAAGCAUGGUGGAGAACACAGAAACCAUCUGAAUAUAAAAUCAGGGCCAGGCAUGGUGGCUCAUGCCUGUAAUCCCAGCACUUUGGGAGGCUGAGGCAGGCAGAUUACCUGAGGUCAGGAGUUCAAGACCAGCCUGGCCAACGUGGUGAAACCCCAUCUCUACUAAAUAUAUAAAAAUUAGCCGGGCGUGGUGGCGGGCGCCUGUAAUCCCAGCUACUCAGGAGGCUGAGUCAAGAGAAUCGCUUGAACCCGGGAGGUGGUGGUUGCAGUGAGUCCAGAUCGUGCCACUGCACUCCAGCCUGUGCGACGAGUGAAACUCCGCCUCAAAACAAACAAACAAAACCCUAACAUUGCCUUGAGCCCAGAGGCAGUUGUCAAAGAAUGAGGACUCAUGGGAAGCCUCCUGGAGGCUCGCUGACUUGGGAGCUCAAGUAGGGUAGCUGUGCUUCCUUCAUCUCCCCUCCAGCAGGGAUGGCACCCAGGGGGCCAGGGCAGGAACUCAGGUUUCCUCAGCCCACAAAUCCCCUGGAAAAAACAUGACAGGCAGGCCGCAUGUGCUUUUGUCAGGUUCCUCCCUGAACCCACCCAUGAGCUGCAGGCCUACCUCUCCCUCAGCAGAAUCCUGGAGCUACCAUUCUCAGCAAGCCUGAGCUCCCUUAGUGCCUGGGAGCUGUCAGUCUGGGAGGCUUCAUGGAGGAAGCGAGACUUGGGUCAGGGAGGGCAGUGACUAAGGGGCACUUUGGAAGGGCCCAGUAAGGGCUGGGGUGCGGAGACCCAGGGGUGGUGGCAUCAGAGCUGAGCCUCAAAGGACCCAGAAGCCUGGGAUGUUUAAAACCUGCCCAUUAUGGGGUCUAGCGAACAGCUUCUUUUAUUCUUGUUUGAAAGUAUUUUUCUG